AAAUGAACAAAAUUUAUUAAAUGUGCAAUCUGUAUCUCAAACAUUAAUGAGAAUUGUUUUGUGUCAGUGCCAGAAAUUGAAUGUACACCUGCAAAUUUCGUAAUUCAUAAAAAUAUUAUGAAUCCAUUAACAAAUAAAGUUGUAUCCUUGAAAG
rnacentral:lncRNA from 1 species